rnacentral:rRNA from 1 species
UACGUAGGGGGCAAGCGUUAUCCGGAUUUACUGGGUGUAAAGGGAGCGUAGACGGCUGUGCAAGUCUGAAGUGAAAGGCAUGGGCUCAACCUAUGGACUGCUUUGGAAACUGUGCAGCUAGAGUGUCGGAGAGGUAAGUGGAAUUCCUAGUGUAGCGGUGAAAUGCGUAGAUAUUAGGAGGAACACCAGUGGCGAAGGCGGCUUACUGGACGAUGACUGACGUUGAGGCUCGAAAGCGUGGGGAGCAAAC